rnacentral:lncRNA from 10 species
CCCGGCUCCCGCGGGCCCCCACCUGCCCUUCUUGCCCUGGCGCCGCCUCCAGCCCAGCCCGUUUCUUGCAGAUUUUAGCUUCUCCCUUGCCUGCCGCCUUUCCCGUUUCGGCUCGGUGAAGCUACCUAUGGGUUGCUGUUCAUUUAACAAACGGUGAUCCGGAUAAACAUGUUCACUUCUUCGCCUGGGCAAACUUUCCAGCCCCCGACCCACUCAUGUCACGAUACCUUCCCGUGUCCAAGUCCGGCUCUCUGCUCCCCACUUUUUUUUUUUUUUUUUUUUGAGACAGAGUGUUUCUCUGUCUCCCAGGCUGGAGUGCAGUGGCGCGAUCUCAACUCACAGUACCCCCUGCCUCCCGGGUUCAAACGAUUUUCUUGCCUCAGCCUCCUGAGUAGCUGGGAUUACAGGCGCGCGCCACCACAGCCGGCUAAUUUUUAUGUUUUAGUAGAGACAGGGUUUCACCAUGUUGGCCAGGAUGGUCUCCAUCUCUUGACCUCGUGAUCCGCCCGCCUCGGCCUCUCAAGGUGCUGGGAUUACAGGUGUGAGCCGCCGCGCCCGGCCUCUUUGCUCUUUUAUACUCUCAGAAGCAAUGAGUUCUGGUUAAAAAAAAGGGCUCGAUAGACGGAAAAAAUGAAGGCUUAAAGAACUGACAACAAAAUAUUAACAUUUGGCUUGUGGAAUUCUUACACUCUCGUAAGCAGAAAAAACAAAUGUUAUGGCAAAAAAGUGUCUCAGACAAAUCCGUCUUGGGGGGAAAAAAAUUAAAAGAAUGAGAAAAACAGACUUCGGAAUAAAUAGACCCAAAGGAGGAAGUAUUGAAAAUGGCAAGAUUCACUUUUACAAACUUAUUUGGAACCACGGCAGAUGGCCAGGGCAGGGAUUUUGCAAGGCAGCUCCAGUUGAGCAGUUGAUUUCUCACCGCCCACCCCCGACCCCACCACUAUUGAUCAUGAGGUGCUUUGAGGGGUCCGGGUUUGGAGGACUGAAACACCGUGGGAUCUUGGAACAGCUCUUCCUUGUUGGUGAUCCCUUAUUAAGAAGCCCUCCAGCCUGACAAUGCUGAAGCCCUGGAGGUUGGAGCCACUCAGAAGAGGAAACCAGAGCACAGAAAGGUUAAGUGAAAUGCCCGAAGUCACACAACUGAUAAAUGGUCAAAUUGGGAUCCAAGCCCAGGCAGCUCUGAGUCAUUGACAUUACUCUGUCCUAGAAGGCACUCGACAGAAAGGGGGUUUGUGCUUCCUCCAUCCCACCCAGCUUCUGAAUGGUCCAGGCCCCUGACUGCAUUGCCACGAAAAGGCCUCAGAAAAAUGUCUGUGCAUGCAUCAAGACUGCAAGCCAGAUCCAAAAUGUAUCAGGUCUCCUUUAUGGGGAAUAGUGAGAAGCAAAUGGAAAUAGAUUGUCUUCCUGCUUGGGACUGUUAACACAGCAGCCAAACUGAACUGAAAAUAUUUUAUUUUAUUUUAUGAGAAUUUUAAUGAGAAUAUUUUAUUCUCAUUAUACUUUGCUAGAAGUUGCCUUCUAGAGGGAUUUCUUUGGGCUUUUAUUUUGAAUUCUAAUAAAGAAUACCUUGACUACAAAUU